CGGUUCGAUUGAACUGGCGGAUGCUUUACGUUUAUGCAAGUCGAACGGUGUUACCGACUUCGGUCUGGUGGGCGAGGAAGAACGAAGAGAAUGACUGAACUGUGCUCAUAUGGAUAACUACGCGAGCGUAGCGACACGCAUUACUGUCUUCUGGGGAAAGCGGGGGACCUUCGGGCCUCGCACCGUUAGAGCGGGCCGAUAUCGGAUUAGCUACAGGUAAAUGGCCACCGAAGGCGACGAUCCGUAGCUGGUCGAGAGAAUGACCAGCCACACUGGGACCGAUAUUGUUGCCCAUUCUACGGAGCAAAGAGAAUUUUGGAUAGCUGAGAACUGCCGAUCCAGCCAUAUCCCGCGUGUGCGAUGAAGGCCUUGGUUUGGGAAUAAUUUUCUUAUGGAAGAAUGGCCGGGAUAAUAAUCGUGCAACUGACGGUACCUGCAGAAUAAGCACCGGCUAACCACGUGCCAGCAGCCGCGGUAAUACGUAGGGGUGCGCGUUAAUCGGAAUUACUGCCAGGCGGAAGGCAAGUGCAGGCGGUUCGGAAAGAAAGAUGUGAAAUCCCAGAGCUUAACUUUGGAACUGCAUUUUUAACUACCGAGCUAGAGUGUGUCAGGAGGGAGGUAAUUCCGCGUAGCAGUGAAAUGCGUAGAUAUGCGGAGGAACACCGAUGGCGAAGGCAGCCUCUGGGAUAACACUGACGUCAUGCACGAAAGUGUGGGGAGCAAACAGGAUUAGAUACCCCAGUCCACGCCCUAAAACGACGUCGAAUCAGUUGCUGGGGGCCUUCGGGCCUGGUAGCGCAGCUAACGGUGAAGUGAUCUGCCUGUGUGAGCAUGGUCGCAAGAUUAAACUCAAAGGAAUUGACGGGGACCCGCACAAGCGGUGGAUGAUGUGAUUAAUUUGCUGAUGCAACGCGAAAACCUUACCUACCCUUGACAUGUCUAAACCGAAGAGAUUUGGGAGUGCUCGCAAGAGAACCUGGGAACACAGGUGCUGCAUGGCUGUCGUCAGCUCGUGUCGUGAGAUGCUGGGUUAAGUCCCGCAACGAGCGCAACCCUUUGCCACACUAUUUACACGAAAGGGCACUCUAAUGAGACUGCCGGUGACAAACCGGAGGAAGGUGGGGAUGACGUCAAGUCCUCAUGGCCCUUGCGGUAGGGCUUCAAGACGUCAUACAAUGGUCGGGACAGAGGGUCGCCAACCCGCGAGGGGGAGCCAAUCCCAGAAACCCGAUCGUAGUCCGGAUCGCAGUCUGCAACCUGACUGCGUGAAGUCGGAAUCGCUAGUAAUCGCGGAUCAAAGUAUGUCGCGGUGAAUACGCCCCGGGUCUUGUACACACCGCCCGUCACACCAUGGGAGUGGGUUUUACCAGAAGUAGUUAGCCUAACCGUAAGGAGGGCGAUUACCACGGUAGGAUUCAUGACUGGGGUGAAGUCGUAACAAGGUAG
rnacentral:rRNA from 1 species